CGCCUUUUGAAAUAUAAACAUAAAAGGUCCUGCCUGCCCAAUGACUAGUUUUAAUGGCCGCGGUAUUAUAACCGUGCAAAGGUAGCGUAAUCAUUUGUCUUCUAAAUAAAGACCAGUAUGAAUGGCAAGACGAAAGCCUCUCUGUCUCCCUAGAUCCGUCAAUGAAAUUGAUCUCCCCGUGCAGAAGCGGGGAUAAUAUUAUAAGACGAGAAGACCCUGCGGAGCUUUAAACUUUAACUACACAUGCUUAGUAAUCAGUUUUAGGUUGGGGCGACCAUGAGGCAUAACUAAACCCUCACGAUAAUAAUCAAGAAAGACAUUUCAAACAACUAAUAUAGCACAUUGACCCAAUAAUUGAUCAACGGACCAAGUUACCCCAGGGAUAACAGCGCAAUCCACUCAAAGAGUCCAUAUUAACGAGCGGGUUUACGACCUCGAUGUUGGAUCAGGACCCCCAAAUAGUGCAACAGCUAUUAAAGGUUCGUUUGUUCAACGAUUAAAGUCCU
rnacentral:rRNA from 1 species